GUUAUACCCGGUUAUAUUUCGCUCAGCCGCAGACCUUGUACCGGUACACGGGUUCUUGUUCCGGUACAAGGACCAAAAUGUGAAUUUUUUUUAAAAAAAAAAUAUAUACUUUAAAAAUCCAGCACAUUUAAAUUAAAUUCAUAUAGUUAAGGCUUUUACUCCAAAAAUCAUUAUAAUGAAAAUAAAAUAUUAUAAAAUUUCAAAACACAUCAAAACAUCAAAAU
rnacentral:lncRNA from 1 species